rnacentral:lncRNA from 10 species
GGCCCACCUCGGAACUGUCCUGAGUGCUGAAAUGGUGCCUGGUUGCAGCUGACAUUCCUGUUCCUUCACUUAAGUGCUCUGCCGGAGCACUAGGUGUGGCAGAAUUGAUGCCCUAUAACUUCUGAGUGUAGGUCAUAAAAGGCAAUGUGGCUCCCCCAGCUCUCUCCCUCUGUCAAGAUGCUUUUCCUUGGAAUCCAGCUGCCAUGUUGUGAGAAAGCCCAGGGCACCGCAGAGACCACAUGUGGGUGUUCCAGCCAACAGCCCCAGCUAGGUCCCCAUGGAGAGCCCACACCAACCACCAGAUAUGAGGGUUCAGACUCCAGCCCACAGUCUUCAAGUCUUCCAGCUGCAGUCCCAGACAUCAUGAAACCAUUCUGCUGUGACCUGUCAGAAUUUCUGACCCCAGAAACUGUUGGAGAUAAUAAAUAAUUACUGUUGUUU